UCGACCUGAGCUCAGGCAGAGUUACCCGCUGACGUGAGUCAUAUCAAUAAGCGGAGGGAAAAGAAAACUAAU
rnacentral:rRNA from 1 species